rnacentral:rRNA from 1 species
UACGAAGGGGGCUAGCGUUGUUCGGAAUUACUGGGCGUAAAGAGUGUGUAGGCGGUUCCUUAAGUUCCGUGUGAAAUCUCCCGGCUCAACUGGGAGGGUGCGCGGGAAACUGGGGGGCUCGAGUAUGGGAGAGGAAAGCGGAAUUCCUGGUGUAGCGGUGAAAUGCGUAGAUAUCAGGAGGAACACCUGCGGUGUAGACAGCUUUCUGGACCAUCACUGACGCUGAGACACGAAAGCGUGGGUAGCAAACAGG